rnacentral:SRP_RNA from 1 species
GCUGAGUGCAGUGGUGUAUGCCUGUAGUCCCAGCUACUCUGGAGGCUGAGGUAGGAGGAUCGCUUGAGCCCAGGAGUUUAAGGCUACGGUGAGCUAUGAUUGCAGCACUGUACUCCAGCCUGGGCAACAGAGCGAGACCCUGUGUCUU